rnacentral:rRNA from 1 species
GUCCUAGCCGUAACGCUGCAAGCCAGAUGUUUCAUAAUCCUCGUGAUUAUGAAGUGUCGAAACGAAGGUGUUAAGCUUGCCACCUGGGAGUACGGUCGCAAGGCUGAAACUUAAAGGAAUUGGCGGGGAGCACUACAAGGGGUGCGGCGUGCGGUUUAAUCGAAUUCAACGCCGAAAACCUCACCAGUGGCGACGGCAGGAUGAAGAUCAGUCUAAAGGGCUUAUCUGACGAGCCGAGAGGUGGUGCAUGGCCGCCGU